AAAAAAAGUGUUGGUCUUGCCCGGUCCAAUAUGGCGUCCACGCUGACGUAUCGCCGCAACGGGCUCGUCACUACGUCACUACGGUGGCUCGUAGGGCAUCACUACAGUGGCCAUGCGGCGCGAACAUUAGUUUGGGAAUAAGCAGAAGAGGGGGACUUUUUUUCGGUAAGCAUACAAAUGAAAGCUCUGGACCAGAGAGGAACAUUUCCACGUUGAAGAGGAGACCAGUAGUCAUGGAGAAGUUUACCCAGAGGAUGAACCACCAUGCCACCUUUCUCUUCAAAUGGACCCUCAGCUUUGAUCUGAACAAUGAUCUUCAGGUCAUAGAGAAGUUGGCACACACAAAGGACAACUGCACCGCAUUCCUCUUUAAGAAGUGAACUUCAUCGGAGGAGGUAGUUCGAGGAGGAGGAAGUCACAGCCUCCCCUCCAUCCUCAGCAGAGGGAGAGAGCGCCGUGUCAUAAUUUAUGCCUUAAAAAGCAUGAAUUUUUCAGGGCACAGUGGCAGAGAUGGCACUUCAUGUUUACGACAAUCAUUUCCUUAGUGAAUGAUUCAUGUGGAUGUGGCGCUUAUGAAUCUUUCAGGGAACAAACAGAAACACUGACGCUCAGAGCUUUAAACUCCUUCGCUGGUCGCCGCUCCAGCAGCCCAACCGAGUGUCUGGGAACAGGACAAACGGUGAAGCGAGCAUGGGAAUAAUAACCCCACCUGCCUCCUCCUCACUUUGUUAUUUCUCUGAUUUAUUUUCUAAGCACUUCUGUGGGUCACAGGAAUAUUUGUAUAGCUCGACAGAAUGUUAACGAUUUGGAUAUUAUUCUCUCUACAUGUCAAAUUCUGGAAAUUCUUGAUACAUUUAGGUUUCUUAGUUUUUUCCAAUGGUUACACUAGGACUGCACGAUUAUGGCCAAAAUGAUAAUAACAAUUAUUUAAAUCAAUAUUGAGAUCACGA